UUGAUCCUACGGGACGCAGCAGUGGGGAAUAUUGCACAAUGGGGGGAACCCUGAUGCAGCGACGCCGCGUGGGCGAUGGAGUAUUUCGGUAUGUAAAGCCCUAUCGGCAGGGAAGAAAAUGACAGUACCUGACUAAGAAGCCCCGGCUAACUACGUGCCAGCAGCCGCGGGAAUACGUAGGGGGCAAGCGUUAUCCGGAUUCACUGGGCGUAAAGGGAGCGCAGGCGGCACGGCAAGCCUGGUGUGAAAACCCGGGGCCCAACCCCGGGAGUGCAUUGGGAACUGCC
rnacentral:rRNA from 1 species